AUUGAACGCUGGCGGCAGGCCUAACACAUGCAAGUCGAACGAGUGGCGGAAGGGUGAGUAAUGUCUGGGAACCUGCCUGAUGGAGGGGGAUAACUACUGGAAACGGUAGCUAAUACCGCAUACAAUCAGAUGUGCCCAUAUGGGCUGAGCUAGGUGGUGGGGGAACGGCUCACCAAGGCGACGAUCCCGAGAUGGUCUGAGAGUAUGACCAGCCAAACUGGAACUGAGACACGGUCCAGACUCCUACGGGAGGCAGGAGUGGGGAAUAUUGCACAAUGGGCGAAAGCCUGAUGCAGCCAUGCCGCGUGUAUGAAGAAGGCCUUCGGGUUGUAAAGUACUUUCAGCGGGGAGGCGUUACCCGCAGAAGAAGCACCUGCUAACUCCGUGCCAGCAGCCGCGGUAAUUC
rnacentral:rRNA from 1 species